rnacentral:lncRNA from 1 species
CCAAGUUGAUGCCAGAUGAAAUUAGGGGUGGGCAAAAACCAACCCAACCCAUGAAAACCGACCGACCCAAUCCAAACCGACUGGGUUGGGUCGGUUUUUUCCUUUUUUGACGGUUUUUCGGGCUAUGGGUUGAGUAAUCGGUUCGGGUUGGGUCGGGUUGUGGGUUAACAAGGAAAACCCAACCCAACCCGCCCGACCCAACCCGCAUGCUUUAAAAAAAAAAAAAAGGCGGGGGGAACUGACUUAAAAUGAGAGAAAAGACCUAAAUUUCUCACUUUCUCACUCUCGUCUUCAAUCUUCAGCCCCAAAGCCAAGGUGACAUCAAUUGAUCAACCUAUCUCUGCCUCAGACAAACAAAUUGUUCAUCAAUUUCUGUAGAAUCAAAGAGAAAGGUGGCAUUUGAAAUGGAUACAUCAAACCCGGUUGUUGGUUAUACCUCUUUCGACUUUUGUCGAGGUAAAUGGCUGACAGUGAUGAUGAGAAGACAUUCGAGUCCAAGAUUUCAACAUUUUCGGAUAUUAGGGAAAUUACGAUUCGGAGGUCAAAACUAGCAAAAAUCGUUUAUGGAGCCCUUCUUCGAUAAACUGAUUGUUGGUUGUUUCGUGAGAGUUGGAAUUGGGAAGUCGAGGAAUGGGCCUAUCUACAGACUAUAAUUCGCAAUGUUGAUGCCUCGGACCCUGGUAGGCAGUAUAAGCUCGAACAAGUACCUGAAUGUGGGCUGCAGCAAUGAAAGCUCUGCUGCCAGGUGGUAGAUGGCAAUGAUUUCAGAUUCUCAGCUACUCAAAAGAGGAGUUUCAUCGAUGGGUUAGGGGGUAGAACGCAGUGGUGGUCAUAUGCCAAGCAAACAGGGGGUGGUGGAAAAGAGAGAUGCCACACAGAAAACAAGCACGUUUGUCUACUCAGUAGCCACCGUCAAACAAAUGUUUCAGGAGAAAAAAACUGCCACAUGGGUACCAUUAAAUGUGGCUGCCGAAAAAGAUACAACUAGUUACAAUCAAGUUUUCCUACUUGCCAAUGGGGAUUACAAACAUCUCUUUAUUUGAGUUGAGCAGUUAGGAGGAGCAUGGUCUUUGAGAGCUUUAAAGUAUAUCUUUCACAAUCUGCAUCUUUACUUUGAUUAUAUGUGGAUAGAGCUACAAACGUAUUCAUUAGUAUUAGUCAGUUGCAAUUGCUAUAUUUCUGGAAUUUAUGUGUUUGGCCUUUUAGAGAUUUUAGUAACUAUUUUGUCCCAAUUGCUGUACUGCCCUUCCCAAGAAUUCCUUUUGGUGAGCCUUCUGGUUAUGAUUGUUUUGGUUGUUGCAAAUCUGUUUCUAUCUUGUCCUAGUAAACUGGAUAUUAAAAAAACUGCCUCAACCUUCAGGUUCUGUUAUAAUCUAUAGAAUAUCAAAUGUUCAUUAGUUUUAGCUACUUCAAAUAAAUGGUGGUGGGAGGCAGAUUUCUAGAAUGUGAUUUUGUUUUAGUUAGUUGAAUGUGAUUUUCAGUUUGUGAGGAAUUGAAUGGUCUCUGUCUUUUGCAGGAAAGGAGAUUAUUAUAGGCAUCUUAUAGAAUUCAAAACUGGUAAUGAGAGGAAAGAAAUUGCUGAUCAGUCACUGGAGGCAUAUGAGGUAUAAUUUUGGUGUACUUCUGUGAAAACUACACACAGGCACACACGUAUGAUUCUAGUUAAACAUUUUGCUCAAACAGACCAACCCAACCCGACCCGACCGACACUUGAUUGGGUUGGGUUGGGUUGGGUUGGGUUUCAACAUUUACUUGGGUUGGGUUGGGUUGAUCUUCGAUCAAACCAACCACGUUGGAUUGGGUUAGGGUUGGGGUAAAAAUCGACCCAACCCAACC